GAGUGGUUAGCUCAGUUGGCAGAGCACUGGCACGGGACGUCAGAGGUCGUGGGUUCGAGUCCCGCAUCGUUCA